rnacentral:tRNA from 1 species
UAUAUUUUAGUGUAGGAUGCACGAUAAUUUUUGAUAUUAUUAGAUUUAGUUUAAUUCUAAAAAAUAUAA